rnacentral:rRNA from 1 species
UACGUAGGGGGCAAGCGUUGUCCGGAAUCAUUGGGCGUAAAGAGCGUGUAGGCGGCCCGGUAAGUCCGCUGUGAAAGUCCAGGGCUCAACCCUGGGAUGCCGGUGGAUACUGUCGGGCUCGAGUCCGGAAGAGGAGUGUGGAAUUCCUGGUGUAGCGGUGAAAUGCGUUGAUAUCAGGAGGAACACCGGUGGCGAAGGCGGGUCUCUGGGCCGAUACUGACGCUGAAGUGCGAAAGCGUGGGGAGCAAACAGG